rnacentral:tRNA from 1 species
GCGAGCGUGGCGGAAUGGUAGACGCAACGGCUUUAGGUGCCGUCGGGGUGACCCGUGAGAAUCUCUUCGCUCGUACCA